UUUCCGUAGGUGAACCUGCGGAAGGAUCAUUAUUGUAUAACCGAGGUGCGAGGGCUGUCGCUGACCCGAAAGGUCGUGCACGCCCGAGUGCCCGCACACACAUCCAUCUCACCCCUAUGUGCACCACCGCGUGGGUCCCCCUUUGGCUUGUUCGGAGGGGGGCUUACGUUUUCACACAAACUUUGUAUGCAGUGUAGAAUGUAUUUUUUGUUUUUGCGAUCACGCAAUCAACACAACUUUCAACAACGGAUCUCUUGGCUCUC
rnacentral:misc_RNA from 1 species